UACGUAGGGGCCUAGCGUUGUCCGGAUUUAUUGGGCGUAAAGAGCUCGUAGGCGGUUUGGUGAGUCGGGUGUGAAAUCUCCACGCUCAACGUGGAGGGGCCACCCGAUACUGCCAUGACUAGAGUCCGGUAGGGGAGUGUGGAAUUCCCGGUGUAGCGGUGAAAUGCGCAGAUAUCGGGAGGAACACCAGUAGCGAAGGCGGCGAUCUGGGAAGAUACUGACGCUGAGGAGCGAAAGCCAGGGGAGCAAACGGG
rnacentral:rRNA from 1 species